rnacentral:rRNA from 1 species
AGGGCGCACGGUGAAUGCCUUGGCACUAGGAGCCGAUGAAGGACGGGACUAACACCGAUAUGCUUCGGGGAGCUGUAAGUGAGCUUUGAUCCGGAGAUUUCCGAAUGGGGAAACCCACUGUUCGUAAUGGAACAGUAUCUUUAUCUGAAUACAUAGGAUAUUGAAGGCAGACCCGGGGAACUGAAACAUCUAAGUACCCGGAGGAAGAGAAAGCAAAUGCGAUUUCCUGAGUAGCGGCGAGCGAAACGGAAUUAGCCCAAACCAAGAGGCUUGCCUCUUGGGGUUGUAGGACACUCUAUACGGAGUUACAAAGGAACGAAGUAAAUGAAGCGACCUGGAAAGGUCCGUCGAAGAAGGUAACAACCCUGUAGUUGAAACUUCGUUCCCUCUUGAGUGGAUCCUGAGUACGGCGGAACACGUGAAAUUCCGUCGGAAGCUGGGAGGACCAUCUCCCAAGGCUAAAUACUACCUAGUGACCGAUAGUGAACCAGUACCGUGAGGGAAAGGUGAAAAGCACCCCGGAAGGGGAGUGAAAGAGAUCCUGAAACCGUGUGCCUACAAGUAGUCAGAGCCCGUUAAUGGGUGAUGGCGUGCCUUUUGUAGAAUGAACCGGCGAGUUACGAUCCCAUGCAAGGUUAAGCUGAUAAGGCGGAGCCGUAGCGAAAGCGAGUCUGAAUAGGGCGUUUAGUAUGUGGUUGUAGACCCGAAACCAGGUGAUCUACCCAUGUCCAGGGUGAAGUUCAGGUAACACUGAAUGGAGGCCCGAACCCACGCACGUUGAAAAGUGCGGGGAUGAGGUGUGGGUAGCGGAGAAAUUCCAAUCGAACCUGGAGAUAGCUGGUUCUCUCCGAAAUAGCUUUAGGGCUAGCCUCAUGUUGUGAGAGUCUUGGAGGUAGAGCACUGAUUGGACUAGGGGCCCCCAACGGGUUACCGAAUUCAGUCAAACUCCGAAUGCCAAAGACUUAUCCAUGGGAGUCAGACUGCGAGUGAUAAGAUCCGUAGUCAAAAGGGAAACAGCCCAGACCACCAGCUAAGGUCCCCAAGUAUACGUUAAGUGGAAAAGGAUGUGGAGUUGCUUAGACAACCAGGAUGUUGGCUUAGAAGCAGCCACCAUUUAAAGAGUGCGUAAUAGCUCACUGGUCGAGUGACUCUGCGCCGAAAAUGUACCGGGGCUAAACGUAUCACCGAAGCUGUGGAUUGACAUCUUUGAUGUCAGUGGUAGGAGAGCGUUCUAAGUGCAGCGAAGUCAGACCGUAAGGACUGGUGGAGCGCUUAGAAGUGAGAAUGCCGGUAUGAGUAGCGAAAGACAAGUGAGAAUCUUGUCCACCGAAUGCCUAAGGUUUCCUGAGGAAGGCUCGUCCGCUCAGGGUUAGUCGGGACCUAAGCCGAGGCUGAAAAGCGUAGGCGAUGGCCAACAGGUUGAUAUUCCUGUACCACCUCCCCGCCGUUUGAGUAAUGGGGGGACGCAGUAGGAUAGGGUAAGCGCGCUGCUGGAUAUGCGCGUUCAAGCAGUUAGGCUGAUGAGUAGGCAAAUCCGCUCAUCAUAAAGGCUGAGCUGUGAUGACGAGGGAAUUAUAGUACCGAAGUUCCUGAUUCCACACUGCCAAGAAAAGCCUCUAGCGAGGCGGGAGGUGCCCGUACCGCAAACCGACACAGGUAGGCGAGGAGAGAAUCCUAAGGUGAUCGAGAGAACUCUCGUUAAGGAACUCGGCAAAAUGACCCCGUAACUUCGGGAGAAGGGGUGCUCUGGUAGGGUGUAUAGCCCGAGAGAGCCGCAGUGAAUAGGCCCAGGCGACUGUUUAGCAAAAACACAGGUCUCUGCGAAGCCGCAAGGCGAAGUAUAGGGGCUGACGCCUGCCCGGUGCUGGAAGGUUAAGAGGAGGGGUUAUCCUUUGGGAGAAGCUCUGAAUCGAAGCCCCAGUAAACGGCGGCCGUAACUAUAACGGUCCUAAGGUAGCGAAAUUCCUUGUCGGGUAAGUUCCGACCCGCACGAAAGGCGUAACGAUCUGGGCACUGUCUCAACGAGAGACUCGGUGAAAUUAUAGUACCUGUGAAGAUGCAGGUUACCCGCGACAGGACGGAAAGACCCCGUGGAGCUUUACUGUAGCCUGAUAUUGAAUUUUGGUACAGCUUGUACAGGAUAGGUAGGAGCCUGAGAAGCCGGAGCGCUAGCUUCGGUGGAGGCGUCGGUGGGAUACUACCCUGGCUGUAUUGAAAUUCUAACCCGCGGCCCUGAUCGGGCCGGGAGACAGUGUCAGGUGGGCAGUUUGACUGGGGCGGUCGCCUCCUAAAAUGUAACGGAGGCGCCCAAAGGUUCCCUCAGAAUGGUUGGAAAUCAUUCGUAGAGUGUAAAGGCACAAGGGAGCUUGACUGCGAGACCUACAAGUCGAGCAGGGACGAAAGUCGGGCUUAGUGAUCCGGUGGUUCCGCAUGGAAGGGCCAUCGCUCAACGGAUAAAAGCUACCCCGGGGAUAACAGGCUUAUCUCCCCCAAGAGUCCACAUCGACGGGGAGGUUUGGCACCUCGAUGUCGGCUCAUCGCAUCCUGGGGCUGUAGUCGGUCCCAAGGGUUGGGCUGUUCGCCCAUUAAAGCGGUACGCGAGCUGGGUUCAGAACGUCGUGAGACAGUUCGGUCCCUAUCCGUCGUGGGCGUAGGAAAUUUGAGAGGAGCUGUCCUUAGUACGAGAGGACCGGGAUGGACACACCGCUGGUGUACCAGUUGUCUUGCCAAAGGCAUCGCUGGGUAGCUAUGUGUGGACGGGAUAAGUGCUGAAAGCAUCUAAGCAUGAAGCCCCCCUCAAGAUGAGAUUUC